GCCUUCGUGGUGUAAGGGUCAGCACGCUGCGCGCAUAUUCCAAAGGCCCUGGUUCGAGUCCCGACGAAGGCG
rnacentral:tRNA from 1 species